GAUGAACGCUGGCGGCGUGCCUAAUACAUGCAAGUCGAGCGAACAGACGAGGAGCUUGCUCCUCUGACGUUAGCGGCGGACGGGUGAGUAACACGUGGAUAACCUACCUAUAAGACUGGGAUAACUUCGGGAAACCGGAGCUAAUACCGGAUAAUAUAUUGAACCGCAUGGUUCAAUAGUGAAAGACGGUUUUGCUGUCACUUAUAGAUGGAUCCGCGCCGCAUUAGCUAGUUGGUAAGGUAACGGCUUACCAAGGCAACGAUGCGUAGCCGACCUGAGAGGGUGAUCGGCCACACUGGAACUGAGACACGGUCCAGACUCCUACGGGAGGCAGCAGUAGGGAAUCUUCCGCGAUGGGCGAAAGCCUGACGGAGCAACGCCGCGUGAGUGAUGAAGGUCCUCGGAUCGUAAAACUCUGUUAUUAGGGAAGAACAAAUGUGUAAGUAACUAUGCACGUCUUGACGGUACCUAAUCAGAAAGCCACGGCUAACUACGUG
rnacentral:rRNA from 1 species